UUGCCUACCUGAUACUAACUGGGUGCUAAUUAGAUAAGCAAUACAGAUUACUCCCUACUUUUGUAAGUUUGUUCACCUUAAGGUAAUCUUCACACAUAUAUACUCAUGUCACCCUAUAACUUUGCACUUGAACUUGAGGUUUCGAUUGUUGUUUACAAUAUCUAACUCUAUAACUAGGACACUAGUCAUAUCAUCGGUUUCCUAUUCAAGC
rnacentral:lncRNA from 1 species